GCGGCCGUAGACCAUGGUGGUCGUCCUCUACUCGUGGUCAAGAUAUAGCGAUCAGGCGGAAAGCGGAGGUUCGAUUCCUCCCGGCCGUA